UUCAAGCGAACCAUCAUACAUAAGUUUACUGCUGUUAGAAGCCCUAACCCUAUCAGGGCAAUUAGUCAACUAAUUAACAAAACGCAUGUCAACUAAUUAACAAAGCGCAUGGCCAACCUCAAAUACAAGAACAACUUAAUAGAGAGAGCAGGAAACAUUAUAUCAUCAGGGAAAGGUUUAUUUGAAAUAGGUUAAGUUAACCAAAUAACCAAAUAGUUUAUUGGAUUUCAGGCCAAGCGUCCAACGUCCAAACACCUCGCAGAACGAUCACAAGAUACAGAGAAUGUAACCAGAAACAUCUCAGCCCGAACCACCAACUUAUCAGCUGAAGAAAGUAGUUACAGGUGUAAGAUGCACCGCAAUCCACUAGGCGAUAAUGCAUUAAUCCCAGAAACAAAUGUACACGAAAACCUGCAAGUACCCAUACUAAAUAUUAACACAGGAUCAUUCGAGUAGAAGCAACGAAGCUAAUUGAUUCGGAGUAAAAGCAGUAAUUAUAAGCCAGCAUCUGGAUGCAGCAAGAGGAUCAUCAACACAUAGUAGAGAGAACUAGCUGCCGCAGCAACAUGGAUUCCAAGAAACAGGGCAACUAUGCAGCAUACACACCCACUAAAUGGGAUAAUUAUAAAUAUACUGAGCAGAAAAGAAGUCAAAAGAGCCGGCGCGACGCACACCAAAUCCGACAACCUGGAAAAGGCGUACAGCAAGGUAUGAUGAUUGAGCAAAUAAAUAGUGUAUGUUCAAUCUUAUGAGGAGAGAAAGAAAGAAACGUACAAAGAAAGAAUUGGGUCCAUAAUUAAUGAGAUAGUUCAGGAAGAAAAUAUGAUGGUGUGUAUGAUAAGGAACAAACAUAUCCCAUAAUUUAUAUCGGACAGUAGUAAUGAAACUAUACCAAAGAAGCUAAUAAGGACAGUUUUAGUGCCCUAUGUUGGACCAAAGGUUAUGAAGUCUCAAUCUAGAGCCACCAUGCUCCGACAUUCAAAUCAUGAAAUAUAUACCAACAUCUAAGGGGUAGCUGAGAGUUAUCAAGCAAUCGCAGUUGUAAAAACUAUAAAAACCCUACCACCACCGUUGCACUCGAACCCCCGACCCUAUUCAGUACAGCUGACAGGUAGUCUGAGGACAAACGGGGACAAUCAGCCGGGCAGUUAAUUAAGGAUUGUAAUGCUUGAAGUAUCCGAAAAAGCGCGUGUAUAAUUCCUACAGAUCGAAACAAGGAUGUAGGUGCCUAAAACUAAUUAAUAUUUAAACAUCAAUCAUAACGUUAGUAAGACAAAUGUCGACAGGCCGAUUUAGACGAUCAUAAGCUGAUACCAAAAGCGACAGGCAACAGCACAAUAUCGAGUAUUGUGAUCAUAGGACCACUGCAUAGAUGGGUCGCAGGGAACAUAAACCAUUCCAAUCACUAUAAUGAUGGCAAGUUCAUUAAGGAAGUUACAGCAGCCAACAAGAGUGGCUAAGAGUGGCGUGCGAAUAUCAAUAUUAAAUAAAACAAAUGUAUCGUGCGUCAA